rnacentral:lncRNA from 1 species
GCUGCGCGCGGGCCACGCGCGGCGGCGGAGGCUGCGCGCGGGCCACGCGCGGCGGCGACUUGGGCUGGGCGGUCGCCCUGCCCCACCGCCCUUCGGCGCUCGCAGGUCCGCUCCCCUCCCAAACCGCAGAGCGGCAGGCGCGGCCGCUGGUUCGAGAGCUCGGCCGGGGCAGCGCAGCCGCCGGCUGCCCCUCGCUCCCAGGCGCCACAACCCCGCGCCCUCGCCGCUGCUGCGUCCCGCGAGACCUGUGGGGAGGCCGGGAGUCACUUCGGGUUCCCUUUCAGCCCACGUGGUCCUGGGACACUCCACCCAGGAACCUAGUCGGCACCGCGCAGGGAAUCCCAGCAGCGGGGUUCUGGCCCCAGCACGCGUUGCGGCAGCCUGGCGAGCGUCCUUGCGGCCUCCAAGUGCCGGUGGGAAAAAUCAUGUCUUCUUCCAGAGUGGGGCUCCGUUUGGCUGCCUGUUUACUAAACGUUUCAGAAGCCGGAAGAAAAUACAUUGUUGAGAACAUAGCAAAAGCAGCUCUUCUUGACAAAAAUGAGGAAAGAAACAUCCUCAAGUUUCAGUGCUCAAUAUAUUUUCCGAUCAAGACUACAAGAGAUCAGUCAUUACAAUAGCAACUUCUGUUGAUAAGUUGGGCCUUGCUGAGGAUCUGGUGCUGCAUGUUCCUGGCUGCAGCGUGUUUCUCUUUGGCGAAGCUGACCUGCCUGAGAAGCGCAGUCUUGUGCAGAGAAGGAAGCAGCUGGGCUGGUUCACGAGGAGGGAUUUCAGUGCUCUUCAGCCUGACCUGGGAGCUGCCCCUUCCCAAAGAUGUGGUUUAACAGAGACGAGGUCUCACUAUGUUGCCCUGGCUAGUCUCCAAUUCUUGCUGUCUCGCGAGCCUCCCAUCUUGGCCUCCCAAAGUCCUGGGAUUACAGGGAUGAGCUACCAUGUCCAGCCCCAGAUCCAACUCUAAGAAAACACAGUCCAUCAGUCACUGAAGAGCACGUCAGUGUAUCCGUCUCUCCCUGUGUGAAUCCUGUUACUUGGACUUGUGUAGAGGUUGCAGUUUCAUCUUUCGUGUAGUAAUGACUGGCAUCAAUUUAUAUCGAUACAAUGAAAAAUUCUAAAGAACACUUUGUGGUAGAGAAAUAAAGGAGAUCUCGUCUUUGAAGAUGCAGAAUAUGGCAAGUAACUUUCCAGUAAAUCAUUCUAUUUUAGUGGAGGAGUUUUGAAGGAAGAUAAGCCCUGAGUUUCCUGAUUAUGUAUAAUUCAAAAAUAGAUAUUCAAAAGUCUCAGAGAUAACAUUCUUCUGUAUAGAUAGAAGAGUUUGCUUUGUCUAUAGAUCCCAUUGUACAGCUUGAAGAAGAGAAGAAUUAUUUUCUCAAAAUCUCAAAAAUCAUAUUUCUGCAAUUUUCUCAAUCUCAGAAUCACAUCUAAUUUCUGAUCAAAUUGGCAACACUCUCUAGUUCUAAGUGUUCAGUUCAUCUGGAAAGAACUUGGUGCAAUUUGUGUAAUUACUUUACAGCUAUCUGCAAAACAAACUGUGGGAGUCACGUCUCUGUCGAUGAAUGUAUAGAUUCAGGUCACUAGAACAUAAUCCUGAAACUGACAUUCUCUGUAAGAUUUUUCUCCUCUUUCGGUUCUCCUUUUUUUUUUUUUUUUUUUUUUUUUUUUGAGAAAGGGUUUCUCUCUGUCACCCAGGCUGGAAUGUAGUUGCACAAUCACGACUCACUGCAGUCUUGACCUCCUGGGCUCAGGUGAUCCUCCCACCUCCCUCCCAAGUCGCUGAGAAUACAGGUGUGUGCCACUACACCCAGCUAAUUUUUGUAUUUUUUGUAGAGAUGGGUUUUCGCCAUGUUUCCCAGCCUGUCUCCUUUCCUUUUUAUGAUUGAAUCCUUUUGAAAAGAAUGUUGUUUUGUUAUAAAAUUUUAAUAAAUGAAGAAUUUAUUUUGGUGUUAAAAUCUUAAACCCUAUUAGAUGGUACCAUAAGGGUUUGUAUUCUACUCAGGAUAUGUCCAAGGAAAUGAUAGGAUUUGUUUGCAUAAGAUGGUAACAAUAUCUUAUCUUUUGAGGCUAAUCUUUAAAACCCAAGAGUAUGUGUUAAUUGUUGGGUUGUCCUUUUUCUUCUAUAGCAUCAAAAUAUUAUAUAAGUUAUUGUUAAUAAUUUUCAAUGAAUUCUUUAUGAUUUAAAUAAAAAUCAUUCUUAUUGGGCUCAUAUGUUUUAC